rnacentral:rRNA from 1 species
GACAGAGGUGCCGAGCGUUAGGCGGAAUCACUGGGCUUAAAGCGUGUGUAGGCGGGCGGGCAAGUACCUUGUGAAAUCCCACGGCUCAACCGUGGAACUGCUGGGUAUACUGCCUGUCUUGAGCCAGCCAGGGGCAGUCGGAACAGGCGGUGGAGCGGUGAAAUGCGUAGAUAUCGUCUGGAACGCCAAAGGUGAAAACAGACUGCUGGGGCCGUGCUGACGCUGAGACACGAAAGCCAGGGGAGCGAACGGG